rnacentral:rRNA from 1 species
GAUGAACGCUAGCGGCAGGCUUAACACAUGCAAGUCGAGGGGUAUAGUUCUUCGGAACUAGAGACCGGCGCACGGGUGCGUAACGCGUAUGCAAUCUACCUUUUGCAGAGGGAUAGCCCAGAGAAAUUUGGAUUAAUACCUCAUAGUAUGUGAGAAUGGCAUCAUUUUCACAUUAAAGUCACAACGGCAAAAGAUGAGCAUGCGUCCUAUUAGCUUGUUGGUAAGGUAACGGCUUACCAAGGCUACGAUGGGUAGGGGUCCUGAGAGGGAGAUCCCCCACACUGGUACUGAGACACGGACCAGACUCCUACGGGAGGCAGCAGUGAGGAAUAUUGGACAAUGGGCGCAAGCCUGAUCCAGCCAUGCCGCGUGCAGGAUGACGGUCCUAUGGAUUGUAAACUGCUUUUAUACAAGAGAAAACCCUGGUACGUGUACCAGGUUGAUAGUAUUGUAAGAAUAAGCAUCGGCUAACUUCGUGCCAGCAGCCGCGGUAA